rnacentral:rRNA from 1 species
GACGAACGCUGGCGGCGUGCUUAACACAUGCAAGUCGAACGGAAAGGCCCUGCUUUUGUGGGGUGCUCGAGUGGCGAACGGGUGAGUAACACGUGAGUAACCUGCCCUUGACUUUGGGAUAACUUCAGGAAACUGGGGCUAAUACCGGAUAGGAGCUCCUACUGCAUGGUGGGGGUUGGAAAGUUUCGGCGGUUGGGGAUGGACUCGCGGCUUAUCAGCUUGUUGGUGGGGUAGUGGCUUACCAAGGCUUUGACGGGUAGCCGGCCUGAGAGGGUGACCGGCCACAUUGGGACUGAGAUACGGCCCAGACUCCUACGGGAGGCAGCAGUGGGGAAUAUUGCACAAUGGGCGGAAGCCUGAUGCAGCAACGCCGCGUGCGGGAUGACGGCCUUCGGGUUGUAAACCGCUUUCGCCUGUGACGAAGCGUGAGUGACGGUAAUGGGGAAAGAAGCACCGGCUAACUACGU